rnacentral:rRNA from 1 species
UACAGAGGUGGCAAGCGUUGUUCGGAAUUACUGGGCGUAAAGGGCGCGUAGGCGGUCUUGUCAGUCCCUUGUGAAAUCCCCCGGCUCAACUGGGGAACUGCAAGGGAAACAGCAGGGCUUGAGUUCGGGAGGGGGAAGCGGAAUUCCGGGUGUAGCGGUGAAAUGCGUAGAUAUCUGGAGGAAUACCGGUGGCGAAGGCGGCAUCCUGGACCGACAUUGACGCUGAACGGCGAAAGCUAGGGGAGCAAACGGG